GAUGAACGCUAGCGGCAGGCUUAACACAUGCAAGUCGUGGGGCAGCGCGGACUUCGGUCUGGCGGCGACCGGCAAACGGGUGCGGAACACGUACGCAACCUCCCUCAGAGCGGGGAAUAGCCUCUCGAAAGAGAGAUUAAUACCCCAUAGUAUCUUGAAGACACAUGUCUAUGAGAUUAAAGCUUCGGCACUUUGAGAUGGGCGUGCGGCUGAUUAGGUAGUUGGUAGGGUAACGGCCUACCAAGCCGACGAUCAGUAGCUGAUGUGAGAGCAUGAUCAGCCACACGGGCACUGAGACACGGGCCCGACUCCUACGGGAGGCAGCAGUGAGGAAUAUUGGUCAAUGGAGGAAACUCUAGAACCAGCCAUGCCGCGUGGAGAUGAAGGUCCUCUGGAUUGUAACUCUUUAUAAAGAAGAAACCCCAUUUUUACUAAA
rnacentral:rRNA from 1 species